GAGGCAGAAUGAACUAUUGGCACGUACUACAACAUAGGUAUCUCCCAAAAUAACUAUGCCAAAUGAAAGAAGCCAGACAAAAAAGAGUGCAGGGUUUAUGAUUCCAUGCACAGAAAAUUCCAGAACUCCAUAGUGACAGAAAACAGAUCAAUGGCUGCCACGGGAUCAGGGCACCGCUAGGAAGGCACAUGAGAAGUCAAAUCGAGUCCAGACAAUAGAGAUGUCCGACUGUGUUUCCCAGCCCUGAGGCGGAGUGCCAUUCACAAACGUGGCUACCCUGGCAUCUCGAGGUCACGGUCUUCCAUGGCUCGACUUGCCUUUGUCCCCUCCAUGUGAAUCUGGGGGCCUGAGACCGUCAACCGAAUAUAGUGGAAGUCAAGCUGCAGGAAGUCCGAGGCCAGGUCCUAACGGGCCCCCUGGCUUCCCCUGGUUCUCCGGAGACUCCUGCUCUGGGGGAAGCCAACCCUGAGCAAGAAGUGUGACCCCUGCGACCGUCGUGCUGGAGAGGCCACGUGUGGGCCGGUGAGUGACCAUCUGGUGCUCACAUUCACGUCUCAAACUCCAAGCCCAGGGCUCCGGUCUCAGGGUAUCUCGUGCCCGCUGGGCCGCGUGUCAGCCCCUGCUCAGUUCUGUCCCCUCUUAAUGGGUCCACGACAAUCUCAACCAUCUAGGCUGCUGUUUCCAAUUCAAGUUGUCAAUCUUCCAAAAGCAAAUCUACUUAUUAGAAUAGUGUGAUCGGGCCUGUAUGUAUGAGUGUUCAAUGCCAGUUCAAGCAACCUGCUUUCAAUCUGGCGGACAAAUCCCACCUGUGUGCCGUAUGACCACGACUUUGUCUUUACGGCAUUACCCCAAGCAGCGAGUCUUUAAAAAAGUUCUAGAAAGAGCGCAACAGGCUCACCCACGUGUAUUUCCUUUCAGUUUCAACCUGUGCAGUCUGAACAGCCCCUCCCUCUUCUGCAGGUACAGCUCUGUCCCCUGGCCUUGGUGACCAGGCCCCCCCUCCAUCGUUAGCCUGGGGACGCAUCUCCCUUGCUGGUUUCCUUUGUUAAACACUUCUCAGUGACCCUGUUUGACUGCAUCACCUACCUCUUCCUGCAACCCUGCCAGGCACCAAGGGAUUGCCACAGUUCUCCUUAAUUAUUCUACAUGCUGAACAAAGGUAUAUUUCAACACAGUAGAGGCGUAAAUGGACAGACAGGAAAGAUAAAACAUCUCUGCACUGGAGAGGAAGAGAAGAGAGGGAAACCUCGUACAUCCAAACAAGGCCGUCAACCGCGUCUGCGCCCAAGGUCCUGACUUGGCCCCCUUCCUGCAUUUGCUAUCUGGUCCUUGUUGGAGACACGACCGUCUACCCAACCAGCCAGGUCAGAAGUAUGGCAGUCAUCGAAGGUUCCUCCCUUUCCUGGUCGUCACCCACAAAUAACCACCCAGCAGGGUCCCUAAAUCCUGCCUACCAAGUGUGUGUCGCCUCCUACGUACCCACCCCAAGUUCACCAUUGCUAGAGCCUCCUAACUGGUCCUCAACUGCCAUCUGGCACCAGCGUUCACCCCACACUCUGUCAAGUGCCCGUGGUGAUCCUUCUGGGUGAAAAAAAUCGAUGCUGCUACUCAUCUCUGAAAUAAGCUUUAAUGGCUCUGUCUUAGUUUGGGUUUUCUGAAAGCAGAGCCUGAGACAAGGACUUGGUACGGGUGGUUUGUUUGGAGGAUGGGGCCAGGAAGCAGGAGGGAGCGGGGGAGUGAGACGAGGGAAGAGGAAACUCAGCAGAGCGCACUCAGGAACGGUCACUGUCGGGGCCACUCCGAAUUGUCUGGGGGGGCUGGCAUCCAACCACUCACCCCUGCCCCACUGGCUGAGGGUUAACCCUGGGACUUUAACUGCCCUGCACUUCCGGGCAGCUGGGGGGCCUUCCCUGGGCUGGAGAUAGCAAAGUGGAGAGAUGCGGGAUGCUGGGGAGUGCCAGGAACUGCCCAUGACAAGGGUGCUGAAAGCAGGCGGCUGAAAGGGUGGCUCGCAGGCGUCACAAGCAUCUGCGGCCACCUCCACCUCACGGCCAGGAUGGAGCCCUUCGUGACUCACCUCUUUUGUCUACCCUGCUUAUGUCCUGAUGUCCAUCUCCCGUGUUCAAGGCCACCAUUAGCCCACGUAAUGCUUGUGCCUGUCAGAAAGUCACCUCUUCUAGGCAGCUUUGUAUGUGUGCAUCCUGAUAAGCUUGGGUAGGCUGGAAUCCACCCCACUGGCCUCUUGAGCUUGGCAUCCUUGUAUAGGACACAGCCUGAACAACUGGAUGGGGGUAGCCCUGAACAUUAAUCUCAGUCCAAGGAACCGCACAGCAGUCCCUGAAUACACCAAACGGUUCACAUUUCUACGACUCUCUGUACUGUUCUUUGUGCUUAGAGCUUAUUUGUCAAAUAGUCACUGAGCAUGUACUACGGGCCAGUCACUCCUGGAAGUGCUGGGAAUACAGCAUAGCACAAAGCACACGUGAAAAUGCCAGCCCACGUAGAACUCACGCUGGAAGCGGGAACAGACCUCCAAAGAAAUAAGUGAGGAGGCAUAUAGUAUGCUGGAUGGCAUU